rnacentral:misc_RNA from 1 species
AACUUUUUGCAAUGGAUCUCUUGGCUCUUGCAACGAUGAAGAACGCAGUGAAAUGCGAAAAGUGAUGCGAUUUGCAUGAAUCUGUGAGUCAUCUAAUCUUUGAACGCACAUGGCGCGGUGUUGCAAGACACCGCAUACCUGUUUGAGAAUUGGAGGUAAUGUAGUCACAGCUGGUGACUGAGCUGGUUCUGCGAGGUGACUUGCUGAACCGAAAUGCAUCGAGUCUCAAUUUAUUGCGGGAGGGGCGAGUUGCUUGCAAGGGGCUCAGGCUCAAGGAUAGCUGCUCGCUCCCUCCCUCCAACACUCAAUCUCAAAUCAGGCAAGACUACCCGCUGAACUUAAGCAUAUCAAUAAGCGGAGGCU